rnacentral:rRNA from 1 species
GAUGAACGCUAGCGGGAGGCCUAACACAUGCAAGCCGAGCGGUAGAGUCUCUUCGGCGACUUGUGAGCGGCGCACGGGUGCGGAACACGUGUGCAACCUGCCUUUAUCUGGGGGAUAGCCUUUCGAAAGGAAGAUUAAUACCCCAUAAUAUACUGGAUGGCAUCAUCUGGUAUUGAAAACUCCGGUGGAUAGAGAUGGGCACGCGCAAGAUUAGAUAGUUGGUGAGGUAACGGCUCACCAAGUCAGCGAUCUUUAGGGGGCCUGAGAGGGUGAUCCCCCACACUGGGACUGAGACACGGACCAGACUCCUACGGGAGGCAGCAGUGAGGAAUAUUGGACAAUGGGUGAGAGCCUGAUCCAGCCAUCCCGCGUGAAGGACGACGGCCCUAUGGGUUGUAAACUUCUUUUGUAUAGGGAUAAACCUAGAUACGUGUAUCUAGCUGAAGGUACUAUACGAAUAAGCACCGGCUAACUCCGUG